rnacentral:rRNA from 1 species
CCUACGGGUGGCUGCAGUGGGAAUAUUGCACAAUGGGGGAAACCCUGAUGCAGCGACGCCGCGUGAAGGAAGAAGGUUUUCGGAUCGUAAACUUCUAUCAGCAGGGAAGAAGAAAGUGACAGUACCUUAGGAGGAAGCCCCGGCUAACUACGUGCCAGCAGCCGCGGUAAUACGUAGGGGGCUAGCGUUAUCCGGAAUUACUGGGCGUAAAGGGUGCGUAGGCGGUAGGGCAAGUCAGAUGUGAAAGCCCGGAGCUCAACUUCGGGACUGCAUUUGAAACUGUCUUACUAGAGUGCAGGAGAGGAAAGCGGAAUUCCUAGUGUAGCGGUGAAAUGCGUAGAUAUUAGGAAGAACACCAGUGGCGAAGGCGGCUUUCUGGACUGUAACUGACGCUGAGGCACGAAAGCGUGGGGAGCGAACAGGAUUAGAUACCCUAGUAGUC